rnacentral:rRNA from 1 species
GACAGAGGGUGCAAACGUUGCUCGGAAUUACUGGGCGUAAAGCGCGUGUAGGUGGAUUGGUGUGUCAGAUGUGAAAUCCCUGGGCUCAACCCAGGAACUGCACCUGAAACUACCAGUCUUGAGUGGUGGAGAGGGAAGUGGAAUUCCUGGUGUAGAGGUGAAAUUCGUAGAUAUCAGGAGGAACACCAGUGGCGAAGGCGGCUUCCUGGACACCAACUGACGCUGAGACGCGAAAGCCAGGGGAGCGAACGGG